CAGACUUUGUUCGUUUGGCGAAUCGCAGGAGUGCGUAGUUUUCACUCUUUAGAAGUAUUUUGUAAAAAAAGUUAAAUUUGAUUAAUUUGUAUAAAACAAUGGUUGCUCCGGAACAAUAUGUAGCAAACAAUUAUGUCUAUGACUUCCAUCCGAUAACAGUAACAUGUUUCAAUUGCAGAAGCAUGGUCGUUACGAAAACAUUUCGAUCAGCGAAUACAGUUUGCUGCUUUCUAUGUUGCAUUUUCGCACUAUGUUGCUGUCGAGACGUGGUCCAUCGUUGUCCGCAGUGCAAUGUCAUUCUCGGAAUAUACAAGAGGUGUUAAUUCCUGAUUAUCGAUUGCUGUUGAGAUGUGUAACUCAAAAAUUUGUAAUUUUUACAUAAAACGGUAACACAAUUUAAAAUUUUGGGUUUUGUCUACUUAAAAACAAUCUACAACUCCUAACCAAAUCUUUUAUAGUCCUAAAACCUGAG